rfam:Sus scrofa chromosome 7.
UUAAAGGCCCUUUUCAGAGCCACACAGUUUUUAUAGAAAGCUCUGG